UACGGGGGGGGCAAGCGUUGUUCGGAAUUACUGGGCGUAAAGGGCUCGUAGGCGGCCAACUAAGUCAGACGUGAAAUCCCUCGGCUUAACCGGGGAACUGCGUCUGAUACUGGAUGGCUUGAGGUUGGGAGAGGGAUGCGGAAUUCCAGGUGUAGCGGUGAAAUGCGCAGAUAUCAGGAGGAACACCGGUGGCGAAGGCGGGUCUCUGGGCCGAUACUGACGCUGAGGAGCGAAAGCAUGGGGAGCGAACAGG
rnacentral:rRNA from 1 species